rnacentral:rRNA from 1 species
GUCAACGGUCAUACCACGUUGAAAAUACCAGUUCUCGUCCGAUCACUGCAGUCAAGCAACGUUGGGCACGGUUAGUACUUGGAUGGGUGACCGCUUAGGAAUACCGUAUACUGUUGACA